rnacentral:lncRNA from 1 species
UUUUUUUUUUUUUCCUGCAAAGUGGUGUUUACAUACAGUUAAAAGGCAUCGAUUUUAGUUUAGCGCCGCACGUUCUCCGGGGAAAGAGGGGGUUAGAAGCGGGAGAAGAUCUAUAUAAAAGGAGAAAGAAAGGGGGAAAAGCUGAUAAUACGGGUUUCAGUGCUGGGCUGGCUCGUCUUCUUCGCUCUGCCUAAGAGCUCAGCGGUUGCCGACGCACGCGGGGAUCCUACGCGUUCCGAGAGCUCGGCUUAAAGGGGAAAACCCACCCAGCUCCCGCCUCGCAGCCGCGACCACACGCUACUCUACGGGGCGAACGCAAGUUCAUGCGGGAACGGGCGGGCGCCGCGCUAGUACAUAGAGAGCGCCUGCUCGCGCAUUACCACUCUUUUCUUUUUCAUUCGUCGGUUCUGAAACCAAAUUUUCACUUGCUGGUCGCUUAAAUUCAGUCUGUUUGAUAGUUCUUUCCUCUUCUGUCGGUUAAUAAACUCAUUGAGGAGAAACUCGUUUUCCAAUUCGGCGAUUUGCUGUUUUGUGUACGGUUUCCGUUUCUUUCUCGAUCUCCCCUGGGUGGGGCACCAAGGCAAACCAUCCUGCACUGAAGGUCUGAGGCAUGACUGGACUGCCGCGGGCUGAACUGUCAGGUUCAAGUUGACCGAAUUCUUGAUGUCCUCCUUUAGGCUGGAAGUGCAGGAAUUCACUUCAAAAAGAGCGGCCGAGCCGUGCAAGCUCCUCGGCAGGCUCGAGUGGUCAUACUUUGCGGGCUUUAAGUUGGCUGCGCACUCUUUGUUGCUGUUGGAGCUGAUGCUGAUUGGAACGGAGCCGGGGAGGUACGGCUGCGCCGCGCCGCCGAACGCGUGGCCCUGCGGCUGGGCUGCGCACGGACUGGGGCACGUCCACGGGAUCGAGCUCCGGGGGUAGGAAAUGGUGGGCAGAGCCGCCAACUGACUGCCAUUAGCCCGCAAAUUGGGAAAAUAGAAGGAAUCUGGAGAUUGCAAGUUCAAGAGAGAACCAACGUAGCCAGAUCUGUAGAGACUGCGAUCACACAUUUCCAACAAAGGACUUCAGCUGUUCUUACAGCAGUAUUUAGUUACAACAGGGAAUAAGCGGAAAGCCUAAAACGAUUGGACGAAACUUUGCAGACAGGUUCUUCAAAGCCGGUAAUUUCAGCACCGCCUCCAGCCACCGAGCCACGGUGUCCCCCCCCCCUUCCUUUUUUUUUUCUUUUUCCCUCCUUUCCCCCCCUUUAUAAAAGUCUUAUGAUAACACUUGAAAUAUGAAAAUACCGGACUCGCAAGGGGGAGGGGAAAACAUGGUCUCCGCUUCUAUAAAAGUGCCUGGGACUGGCUGGCAGAGCCGCAGCGCCAGCGGAAAGAUGCGGAGAAAACAAACCCCCGGCCGGCGCUGAGCAGAGCCCCGGGGCGGGCAGCGGCCGCGGCAUGGGGUGCCCGGUGCGGGGCCGCAGCUCCGUGCCCGCUGCUCUCGGCGGGGGAAGGGGCCGUGGCCGUCCGGGCACACGGAUGGGCUCUGCCCUGUGCCGGCGGGGCACCGCGGUGUGCGUGCUCGGAGCGCGGCUUUCAUCCGUUUUAUACACGCAUUUGUUUUAGUUGCGAGCAACGUGAUAUGCAUCUGCGUACGCUCGCAAUUAAACUAUUAAUUGAUGGGUUAUUGGCGGGAUUGUCUUUCUGUUGCACUACUGACCGGUGGUCUCGGAGGCUUUCCCAGAUUUGCCCCGUACUCUUCUUACCCCUUCCACCUUCCGUCCUAACUCCAACGCUAGGCACGUUUUCAAACGACUCUUCUAAAUCUGGCCGCUCGUUUCUUGAAUUCUUAAGAGACAAUAACAAUGGCAGCAAGAAGGAAUUCCUUGAGCGGAGCGCCGAGAUUCAAAACAAACCAAUAGCAUCCAAAGGCUGCGCGGGGGAACACCGGCGAGGAGAACGCCCCGGUACCCCGCAGCAGGGCACGGGAUGGCUGCGGCGGGCAGGGCCGGACCGGCGCCGGGCUCGGAGCCCGCUGCCACCUCCCGAGCUGCGGCCGGGCAGGUUUCGUCCCUAAGAAGUAAAUCAUUCCUUACGGUGAUACGGAUAUAUAUAGAGAGAAAUUGAGAGAUGGUUAUAUGUACGUAUGUACGUGUCUCUCUCUCUAUGUGUCGUGUAUAUGACAUUUUUGAAGGCGCGGCUGUCCCUCUGUCUCUCCCGCUUUCCUCCCCGCUCCCGAGUACGAACCAAACCCCAUCUGACCGCAUCCUCGCGGGAGGCAGCUCGAGUCCUUUCCAGACCGCGCGGGGUGGCAGACAGUCUGCUUCCUGCGGAGACAAGCCGAGCCCCCGUGUCUCACCCAGAGACGCGAUAUCCCCAUAAAACAGCAGACUGCAAGGCCAAGGGCUGGAGCUGCCCGGCAGGCAGCGGCCGGAGCCCUGAGAGCUGCGAGGCGGCUCCGCGCCGUGCGGCCGCUGCGGGACCGUCGGCCCCUGACCUCGGCCCUGCCCGAAGGGAUCCCCGGGUCCGAGCGGACCCCUCUUCGGGCCGAAGCCCAGAUCCCGAACGUCGUCACCUUCGCGGCUUCGAUUUUAAAACUCGAGCCCAGUUAACAGGAAGGAAGAAACAACGCUAAAGUCACGGCUUGUCGGCGCUCCCUUCCACCGAGAGAACAACGCCGGCUUUCACGGGAAUAGAAAACAAUUCACGAAACUUCGCCACCGCUGGAAGGAGAAGAGAAAAAAAAUAUUAAAUAUAUUUUCAAGUCUUUCCAAAAGUCCGCAGCUGGUCGUAAACGGAGGUUGUAUAUCCGCCACUGUCCGCAAGGAAUCGAUCAAGAAACGUUGUCUUUCAGUUUGGAGACUAUUUUCUUAUCCUUCACCCUCCUGUUCUGAAACCAAAUGGUGACCUGGCGUUCGGACAGGUUCGUGGCCGCGGAUAUCCUUCGCCUCUUGUCCUUGUUAAUGAACUUGUUAAUGGCGUAUUCGUUCUCGAGUUCCUUAAGCUGGAGCUUGGUGUAGGGCACUCUCUUCUUCCUCCCGCGCCGGUAGACGCACAUCUCGGGCUGGUUUAGUGCAACGUCCCCUAAGGAAAAGACACGACGUGAAAAAUUAGAAUUUUAUGACAGGCGUUUAAAGCGUAGCCGAUUCUUGUCGGGCGCUGCUUUUCACGGGCAAAUAAAUAACGGCGGCUUGUUUACAGUUUAUUAUUAUUUACACCGCCCCAUUAGCCGCGCGUCGGGCAGCCCCGCGCCUGACGGACUGUCAUCACUGUGAGCGGCGCGGCGGG